UGCAGCCUUGUGGGAGAACAAGUUCAGACUGGUUCAGACCGGUUCAGACCGGUUCCAAUUGAGCGGGUCCUGAGGAUUUACUUAUUUAAAAGGGAAAUCCCAGUCUGGUGUCUUGAGGUUGACAUACUCAACAUUCCAGGCUAAGGCAUCCUGAGAAGAUAUAUAAAGCGUUCUCUUUGUUUCCUUGACUCUCUGUGAAUGGCAUCGCUACAGCAAAGAUGACUUUACGUUUUCACUUGGUCUGUUGGAUCAGUGGGCUGAUUGUAGUGACU